rnacentral:rRNA from 1 species
GGAGUAACGACGUGAGGCAACCUGUCCUUCACAGGGGAUAACACAGCGAAAGUUGUACUAAUACCGCAUAAGACCACACCGGGACAUCCCGGAGGGGGUCAAAGGAGCAAUCCGGUGAAGGGUGGGCUCGCGUCCGAUUAGAUAGUUGGUGAGGUAACGGCCCACCAAGUCGACGAUCGGUAGCCGACCUGAGAGGGUGAUCGGCCACAUUGGGACUGAGACACGGCCCAAACUCCUACGGGAGGCAGCAGUGGGGAAUAUUGGGCAAUGGGGGGAAAAACCCCCUGACCCAGCAACGCCGCGUGAGGGAAGAAGGUUUUCGGAUCGUAAACCUCUGUCCUUGGUGAAGAGAGAGAGACGGUAGCCAAGGAGGAAGCCCCGGCUAACUACGUGCCAGCCGCCGC